GGGGAAUAUUGGACAAUGGGCGCAAGCCUGAUCCAGCCAUGCCCCGGGAGUGAUGAAGGCCUUAGGGUUGUAAAGCUCUUUUACAAGGGAAGAUAAUGACGGUACCUGAAGAAUAAGCCCCGGCUACCUUCGUGCCAGCAGCCGCGGUAAUACGAAGGGGGCUAGCGUUGCUCGGAAUCACUGGGCGUAAAGCGACCGUAGGUGGGUCGUUAAGUCGGGGGUGAAAUCCUGGAGCUCAACUCCAGAACUGCCUUCGAUACUGGCGAUCUUGGAGUCCGGGAGAGGUGAGUGGAACUGCGUGUGUAGAGGUGAAAUUCGUAGAUAUUCGCAAGAACACCAGUGGCGAAGGCGGCUCACUGGCCCGGUACUGACACUGAGGUGCGAAAGCGUGGGGAGCAAACA
rnacentral:rRNA from 1 species